rnacentral:lncRNA from 1 species
GGUACCGCCAGUUCUGGGAAUCGCACAGGGGUGCGUACAAAUGGACCAGGACGCGGAGAGCACGGAAACAACGGUGCUGGGACCUUGUGCACAGAAUCCAGAUGCCAGAUGGGAAUUAAACAUUCGGCCGAGAAAAGCAAUCUAGUUCCCUGGGCUCGACUUUGACUCACUCCUUGGUCUGCACCAAUCCUCACAUCCCUCAGGUCCUCUAACUUUUACGACAGUAUCCAGAAAUCGAUUCUUUGGUCUCUACGGCUCCAGAAGGCUCGCUCAUCAAGAAACGUUCCAUUACCUUCGAUUAGAAGUGGAUACAUAUAUGAUUUUGGCCUAAAAAAAAAUUUGCAAAAAGGGAGAAUGCAAACUUGUCCUUUUCCUUUUGGAUUUACGGAGUGCCAGUAUCAGGUGUGGUUCCAGGUUCCCGUUCCAGGUUCCAGAUAAGGCUGUGGUGAGGUCUCGAGCAGACAAGCACAAGUCCAAUUGCCUCUUCUUUUGAAACAGAGUCUAUUGAGGAGGAAUCUCUGAAAAUGACAGCUGAUGGGUGUAGAGACCCACGCCCGGAAUCUCAGCAACUGAAGUGGUUGAAGCAGGAGCAUCUGGGCAGAGCUUGAACCAGGAAGCUGAGCGGCACCAUAGGUGUUGCUAACCAAGCAUAGCAGCAUAAUAAAAAUGGAGUGAUUAAAUGUAUUAAGUUUGAAGUAUA